CAGGCCUAACACAUGCAAGUCGAGCGGACAGAUGGGAGCUUGCUCCCUGAUGUUAGCGGCGGACGGGUGAGUAACACGUGGGUAACCUGCCUGUAAGACUGGGAUAACUCCGGGAAACCGGGGCUAAUACCGGAUGGUUGUUUGAACCGCAUGGUUCAAACAUAAAAGGUGGCUUCGGCUACCACUUACAGAUGGACCCGCGGCGCAUUAGCUAGUUGGUGAGGUAACGGCUCACCAAGGCGACGAUGCGUAGCCGACCUGAGAGGGUGAUCGGCCACACUGGGACUGAGACACGGCCCAGACUCCUACGGGAGGCAGCAGUAGGGAAUCUUCCGCAAUGGACGAAAGUCUGACGGAGCAACGCCGCGUGAGUGAUGAAGGUUUUCGGAUCGUAAAGCUCUGUUGUUAGGGAAGAACAAGUACCGUUCGAAUAGGGCGGUGCCUUGACGGUACCUAACCAGAAAGCCACGGCUAACUACGUGCCAGCAGCCGCGGUAAUACGUAGGUGGCAAGCGUUGUCCGGAAUUAUUGGGCGUAAAGGGCUCGCAGGCGGUUUCUUAAGUCUGAUGUGAAAGCCCCCGGCUCAACCGGGGAGGGUCAUUGGAAACUGGGGAACUUGAGUGCAGAAGAGGAGAGUGGAAUUCCACGUGUAGCGGUGAAAUGCGUAGAGAUGUGGAGGAACACCAGUGGCGAAGGCGACUCUCUGGUCUGUAACUGACGCUGAGGAGCGAAAGCGUGGGGAGCGAACAGGAUUAGAUACCCUGGUAGUCCACGCCGUAAACGAUGAGUGCUAAGUGUUAGGGGGUUUCCGCCCCUUAGUGCUGCAGCUAACGCAUUAAGCACUCCGCCUGGGGAGUACGGUCGCAAGACUGAAACUCAAAGGAAUUGACGGGGGCCCGCACAAGCGGUGGAGCAUGUGGUUUAAUUCGAAGCAACGCGAAGAACCUUACCAGGUCUUGACAUCCUCUGACAAUCCUAGAGAUAGGACGUCCCCUUCGGGGGCAGAGUGACAGGUGGUGCAUGGUUGUCGUCAGCUCGUGUCGUGAGAUGUUGGGUUAAGUCCCGCAACGAGCGCAACCCUUGAUCUUAGUUGCCAGCAUUCAGUUGGGCACUCUAAGGUGACUGCCGGUGACAAACCGGAGGAAGGUGGGGAUGACGUCAAAUCAUCAUGCCCCUUAUGACCUGGGCUACACACGUGCUACAAUGGACAGAACAAAGGGCAGCGAAACCGCGAGGUUAAGCCAAUCCCACAAAUCUGUUCUCAGUUCGGAUCGCAGUCUGCAACUCGACUGCGUGAAGCUGGAAUCGCUAGUAAUCGCGGAUCAGCAUGCCGCGGUGAAUACGUUCCUGGGCCUUGUACACACCGCCCA
rnacentral:rRNA from 1 species